rnacentral:rRNA from 1 species
AUUGAACGCUGGCGGCAGGCCUAACACAUGCAAGUCGAACGAGUGGCGGACGGGUGAGUAAUGUCUGGGAAACUGCCUGAUGGAGGGGGAUAACUACUGGAAACGGUAGCUAAUACCGCAUACCAUCAGAUGUGCCCAGAUGGGAUUAGCUAGUAGGUGGGGUAAUGGCUCACCUAGGCGACGAUCCCUCGCUGGUCUGAGAGGAUGACCAGCCACACUGGAAAUGGUACACGGGCCAGACUCCUACGGGAGGCAGCAGUGGGGAAGAUUGCACAAUGGGCGCAAGCCUGAUGCAGCCAUGCCGCGUGUGUGAAGAAGGCCUUCGGGUUGUAAAGCACUUUCAGCGAGGAGGCGUUACUCGCAGAAGAAGCACCGGCUAACUCCGUGCCAGCCGCCGCGGUAAUUC